rnacentral:rRNA from 1 species
GAUUAAUAUUUAUAUAAUAUUAACAUAAUUCAUAUUACUAAAUUUAUUAGUAUAUGAAAUUUUACUUUGAGAAAAUUAGAGUGCUUAAAGCAGGCAUAUGCCUUGAAUACUCCAGCAUGGAAUAAUAUUAAAGAUUUUUAUCUUUCUUAUUGGUUCUAAGAUAAAAAUAAUGAUUAAUAGGGACAGUUGGGGGCAUUUGUAUUUAACAGUCAGAGGUGAAAUUCUUAGAUUUGUUAAAGACAAACUAAUGCGAAAGCAUUUGCCAAGGAUGUUUUCAUUAAUCAAGAACGAAAGUUAGGGGAUCGAAGACGAUCAGAUACCGUCGUAGUCUUAACCAUAAACUAUGCCAACUAGAGAUUGGAGGUUGUUCCUUACU